ACUCCUACGGGAGGCAGCAGUAGGGAAUAUUGGACAAUGGGCGAAAGCCUGAUCCAGCCAUGCCGCGUGAGUGAUGACGGCCCUAGGGUUGUAAAGCUCUUUCGGCGGGACGAUAAUGACGGUACCCGCAGAAGAAGCCCCGCGUACAUUCGUGCCAGCAGCCGCGGUAAUACGAAGGGGCGUAGCGUUGUUCGGAAUCACUGGGCGUAAAGCGCACGUAGGCGGAUCGUUUAGUUGGGGGUGAAAUCCCGAGGCUCAACCUCGGAAACUGCCCUUCAAUACUGGCGAUCUUGAGUCCGAGAGAGGUGAGUGGAACUCCGAGUGUAGAGGUGAAAUUCGUAGAUAUUCGGAAGAACACCAGUGGCGAAGGCGGCCCCCUGGACAGAUACUGACCACUCAGAUGCGAAAGCGUGGGGGAGCAAAACAGGGAUUUAGAUAGCCCCGG
rnacentral:rRNA from 1 species